AGGAUGAACGCUGGCGGCGUGCUUAACACAUGCAAGUCGAACGAUGAUCUCCAGCUUGCUGGGGGGAUUAGUGGCGAACGGGUGAGUAACACGUGAGUAACCUGCCCUUGACUCUGGGAUAAGCCUGGGAAACUGGGUCUAAUACUGGAUACGACCUUCCAUCGCAUGGUGGUUGGUGGAAAGCUUUUGUGGUUUUGGAUGGACUCGCGGCCUAUCA
rnacentral:rRNA from 1 species